rnacentral:rRNA from 1 species
UACAGAGGGGGCAAGCGUUAUUCGGAAUUAUUGGGCGUAAAGGGCGCGUAGGCGGCUUGGCAAGUGGAAGGUGAAAUCCCUCGGCUUAACCGAGGAACUGCCCUCCAAACUGCUUAGCUUGAGACCGGGAGAGGUGAGUGGAAUUCCCAGUGUAGCGGUGAAAUGCGUAGAUAUUGGGAGGAACACCAGUGGCGAAGGCGACUUCCUGGCCUGUUCUUGACGCUGAGGCGCGAAAGCUAGGGGAGCAAACGGG